rnacentral:rRNA from 1 species
UAUGUAGGCGGAAAUCUAAGUCAGUGGUGAAAUCCCGCAGCUCAACUGUGGAACUGUCAUUGAUACUGGUUUUCUUGAAUAUAGUUGAGGUAGGCGGAAUGUGUAAUGUAGCGGUGAAAUGCUUAGAUAUUACACAGAACACCGAUUGCGAAGGCAGCUUACUAAACUAUGAUUGACGCUGAGGUACGAAAGCGUGGGGAGCGAACAGGAUUAGAUACCCUGGUAGUCC